UCUAAGAUACUGGAAUGUUCUUAGGCUGAAAAUUCCGGUGCCCUAGGAUGAGUCUGCGGACUAUCAGGUUGUAGUCAGGGUAAAGACCUGACUAGCCUACGACGGAUACGGGUUGUGAGAGCAAUAACCCGGAGAUGAUAUCUGAGACACGAUAUCAGGCCCUACGGGGCGCAGCAGGCGCGAAAACUUCACACUGCGCGAAAGCGCGAUGAGGGAAUCCCAAGUGCUUGCACGUAAGUGUAAGCUGUUUUUAUGUUUAAAAAGCAUAGAGAGUAAGGGCUGGGUAAGACGGGUGCCAGCCGCCGCGGUAAUACCUGCAGCUCAAGUGGUGACCGUUAUUAUUGGGCCUAAAACGUCCGUAGCCGGUCUAUUAAAUGCCUGGGUA
rnacentral:rRNA from 1 species